CUGGGCAUGCAUCCACUUUUGAGGGAACUGUGACAUGUGUGACAGAUAUACUCCUUUUUUCUCUCAACAGGAAAGCUGCAGUGAUCAUGACAUGCUUCAUCACACACAUGAACAAAUUUACCAGUUAGACACUGUUGAGCUACAGUUUGGUGUUUUGAGUAAUUUUCUCUUUUGCAGAUUUUCACCUGAUUAGGAAAAGAAGCUUUUAGACAAACAGUACAAACAUAAGAUGGUGCUGACUUAAUGUUGGAUCUGAAACGAGAUAUGGCCUCAUUCAUUAAAGUGUUAUCUGGAUGACACUGUAAACUCUCAGCUGGUCGAUGCAUCUGGCGAUAUUUUCGUUUUAUGUUCAUUGCACAUCUGACAUUAUGCAUCUGUCUAAAAGAAAAACUGUUCCAAUAUUUUACUCUCAUUCGUUCUCUCAUAUUGUCCUUGUGUUGUUGUUGAAAUUGUUUCUCUUCUCCAUACCGCUUAGUCAUGUAAGAUCGUUUUUUCUUUUUAAAUUCUUCGCUUUCUUUAUAUAGGUUAUAUACAUAUGACCUCAUGUAAGCUUUAUGUUUUUCUCUGAAUCCAGCACAAGUUCUGUAUAUUCGUCUUAUACGCUCUUUCUGCUUAUCUCUGAAUAUCGGAGACUCUCUAUAUGUUCUUGUUACACGUUCCUUCUGCUUAUCUCUGAAUAUGGAAGACUCUCUAUAUUUUCUUGUUAUACGUUCCUUCUGCUUAUCUCUGAAUAUCGGAGACUCUCUAUAUGUUCUUGUUACACGUUCCUUCUGCUUAUCUCUGAAUAUGGGAGACUCUCUAUAUGUUCUUGUUACACGUUCCUUCUGCUUAUCUCUGAAUAUGGGAGACUCUCUAUAUGUUCUUGUUACACGUUCCUUUUGCUUAUCUCUGAAUAUGGGAGACUCUCUAUAUGUUCUUGUUACACGUUCCUUCUGCUUAUCUCUGAAUAUGGGAGACUCUCUAUAUGUUCUUGUUACACGUUCCUUCUGCUUAUCUCUGAAUAUGGGAGACUCUCUAUAUGUUCUUGUUAUACGUUCCUUCUGCUUAUCUCUGAAUAUGGAAGACUCUCUAUAUGUUCUUGUUAUACGUUCCUUCUGCUUAUCUCUGAAUAGGGGAUUGUCUUUAUAUGUCCUUAUGACACGUUCUCUUUUUCUGUCUCUAAUUUUAGCACUUUCUCUAUACAUCUUUCUCAAAUGUUCUUUCUUUUUCUCCUUAUAGGUAGCAUUUAAUUUAUACAGUUCAUUUCUGUACAGAAUCCUUUUCUGUCUGUGAUCAGGAUCAUUAGACUUCCUAGCUGAGUUUUUUUUCUUUGUCUUGAAGCUUUCAUCAAACCUGUACAUCUGCCUUUCUUUUGUCUUCUGAUUUUCCUUUCUCUGUGGUACUUUUUCUUGGGCUAAUAAUUUUCUCCUCAUUUUUUGCCUUUCCUGUUUAUUACGUUUCAGCAGUUUAUCUGAGAGUUCCUCUGUUAUCUUAGUUGAACUGGAGGCAGUGUUUGAAUCAUUCUGAGGAACAGAAUCUGGUGUUACUGGAGUUUCUCUCACAGAAGAUGCAGAGGUUUUCUUUUCAAAAUAAUCAGAAGGUUGUUUUUUUUCUGGAGCAGCUGUCUCAUUUGAAGAAUCAGCUCUGGAUGACAUUACUUCACUGGUUAAAUCUUUGGUCACAGGUUUCCGUGUCUGCUCAGUGUAUAUUUCGGAGUUUGAUUCAUGAACACAUUCACUUAAAGCUGGUGCUGGUGCACUUGUAGCUGUUUGUCUGUAUUCGGUGGUCUGAUUAGCAUCGCUUUGGUCAGCAGCGUUUUCACUGUGAAACUCGAUGGGCUGUAGCUCAUAAGUGCAGCUUGGUGCGAUGCUAAACAUUCGGUACAAACGUUUGAUCCUGUCAAUCAUGUCAUUAAGACGUGUGAACUUCAACAUAACUGCAGUUCCACCACUUACACUUAUGGACAAUGGCAUACCAGUAGACUUACGUGGGUGAGGGUCAAAAUAUGCAUAUUCACCUGAAGUCAGCCUGCAAACGGCGAUGACUGUUCCUCCCAUGACUAGCAAAGCAUAGCAAAACUCUGAAGCCAAACAUUGUAGUCCUUGUUCAAGGCUCGGAAGAUGAUCUGUACCAUCAAAUGUGCCGUAACGAGCAAACUGAGACAUGUCAACUUGAUACUCACGUCUGCGGCUGGUGACCACUGAGGGAAGCUCAUCACAGGCUAGAAACACGCUGUUCACAAACCUCUUUCUGGCAUCUGAAUACACUGCAUGGCCUUUGUCCAACACACGGUUAAGAUCUGCUCUGGUAAUGAACUCAUCCUCGUGUAAGAAUGACAGGAAAACCAAACUGUUAGCCAUACAUUGCUGAUUACGGUACUUUCCAUACCUAGGAGAAGCCUGGCUUCGGGCUGCACAGAUGCUACUCACUCGUGGACGACUUUCACUGUUUGUAACCUGUACAUGGGACUGUACUGGAACUUGUCCAUCAUGCUGUGUUUGUACAGUUAGCUGGGGUUCAGUCUGGAUUACCUGCAUAACUUCAGGAUCUGGGACAGACACUGAGGGAACACCUCUCUUUACAACAUCUGCAUAAGAUACUGUGGCUGUCUCUCCAUCAUGCUGUGUUUGUACAGUUACCUGGGGUUCAGUCUGGAUUAGCUGCAUAACUUCAGGCUCUGGGACAGACACUGAGGGAACACCUCUCUUUAC
ensembl:lncRNA